ensembl:lncRNA
GUGCUGAGAAAAGGAGAGGUGAAAUGUGGGAGGUGAUGGAAGUGGGGCAACUGAGAAGACUCCCGUAUUUCUGCUUGGGAUAAUGCCGCUAGUAAAGUUAGGGGAAUAAGAUUUUUGUGGGUGUGUUAGUGUACUUUGGGGAAAUACAAUCAUUUUUGCACAAGCUGUGUUUACAGUCCUAUGAAACACCUAGAUGAAGUUAAGGAGGCUUUAGAGGUAAUAGCUCAGAAUGCUUUGUUCUAAAUAAAGAUUUUUCUGACUUGGAGACUGGACUUUGGGGCUCUGAUGUCUUUUUCUCAAGAAGGCCUUGAGUUCCUAGAAGGUUCUGAGUCACCUCUUCCCCAGUGUCCAGCUCUGCACAUCAAUGGGAGAGACAGUUUUUGCUAAGACAAAAAAAUUAAAUAAGUGAAGACUGAGAAGGAUCCAUUGGAUUGGACUUGGAAUCAUUGUUGGGUAGACAUAUGGCUGCAGUGGUUUGAAGAGUGAAUGAAAGUAGAGACACCCUAUUUGGAUGGAUAUCACUAUGCACAGCUUACACUCAAGGAAUGAGGAGACAGGCUCCAUCUCUGUGUGAGUAGAGUAUCUACACAGAUUAUGAAGAAAUCUUCUGAACCACAGCCUUUUCUUUCCAAGAUUAAUAUGCUGACAGUAGCAGAAGAUGAGAGCAAUGAAGAGCCUCACAAAAAUAACAUUGCAAGUGUCUUAUGCACAUAUUUCUUGUACUAGUCAUUAACAUUUCCAUAGGCCAAGAAAAAAGUCAUUUAAUAGGAACUGCUGAUAACUGAGUGAUUUGAAUAACAUGAAGCUGAAGGACUGAAUCAACAUCUUUGGUGCUUUUUAUUUUCUAAUGUCUAAAUAGAACAGUUUGAAAAAUCAAGGUUAGUUUCACGUCCUUAUAAUUAGCCCUGAGAAUGAAAGAGAAACCACAGAAUAAAACAAACCGGUUGUGUUAGGCAGCGGUAGUAGUUUAUCUAGUCCUGUCACUUACUAGUUGUGUAAGCUAUGGCAUAUUACUUAACCUCUGUAAGCCUCAAUUUUCUAAACUACAAAUUAGAAAAAUAGUAAUGCCUACAUAAUUUUUGAGGUUUAAGUUACACAACAUAUCUCAAAAUGUAUUUGUAACCUAUAAAACUGCACUAGUUUGCUCAGGCUACAAAUUCCUGGGGCUGACACCCAGCCAUGGUGCACUGUAUAGACUUUUACACCUAAUGUUUAUUAGGUUGGUCAGAACCCAAGCUGCACUGCUGCUGCUGCUAAGUCCCUUCAGUUGUGUUCGACUCUGUGCCACCCCAUAGACGGCAGCCCACCAGGCUCUCCUGUCCCCGGGAUUCUCCAGGCAAGAACACUGGAGUGGGUUGCCGUUUCCUUCUCCACAGGCUGCACUAGUGUUGAUUAUUUUGACUCUCACCGCUGCUAGCCACUUGUGAGCUGCACAGAGAUCCUGCUUCCUCCUGGCCCUCACAGUCAUUUACUUAUGUCCUGUUGGGACAACCACAGUAUCUGGACCUUGCUACCUGUGAAUAAUUAAGAUGCUGUGUUGCUUAGAGAUCUGGGGGUGAGGAUUUUGAAAGGUAAUUUUUCCUCUUGCAGAACAUGUACCUGAAAUGUUGAGUCAGAAGCCAAGUCUGUAUAGCCCUUCCCAGGCUGUGGCUUGGUGGAUCCCCAUCUGUUGGUAUGAACAUUUAAGGCAGUGGACAGAUUUAGUGUUUGGCAAAGGUAGUUUUGUUCAUUUCCUUGGCUUCUUUUUGUUAAAAUGUUACCCAAAGUACUGUACACAUGAGGGAAAUUAUGUCCCUGAAUAAUUUCUUAAGUAUAAGCAAGUUAGAUAUAGAAAGCAAACAAAAAUUCCAAGCCAGGGGACUUCACUGGCAGUCCAGUGAUUAAGACUUUACCUUCCAGUGCAGGGGUGUGGGUUUGAUCCCUGGUUGGGAAGCUAAGAU